GAUUUACUCCCUCCGUCCCAAAAUUCUUGUCUUAAAUUUGUCUAAAUACGGAUGUAUCAAGUCAUGUUUUAGUAUUAGAUACAUCCGUAUCUAUACGAAUCUAAGACAAGAAUUUUGGGAUGGAGGGAGUAUAAU
rnacentral:pre_miRNA from 1 species